GUUGCCUGUGGUCUAAUGGUCAAGACAAACGAAUGUGGCUCGUUUAAUGCCAGUUCAAUUCUGGUCGGGCACCCCA
rnacentral:tRNA from 1 species